GCCUCGCUGGCCCAAUCGGUUAAGGCUCCCGACUCUUAUUCUUUCUCCAAUGUUAGGAUAAUCGGGCGAUUGGGGGUUCGAGUCCCCCGUGGGGCU
rfam:Cryptococcus bestiolae CBS 10118 unplaced genomic scaffold supercont1.3, whole genome shotgun sequence.